UUUGGUCUUCAGGGUUAGGUGAAAUUCCUUAUCGGCGGUGAUGGUGGUUCAGCCACAUAAGCCCGCGAGCCGCAAGGUAGGAUGCUGGUGCGAAUCCAGAGCCGACGGUUAAAGUCCGGAUGGAAGAAGAUCGAU
rnacentral:ncRNA from 2 species